GACGAACGCUGGCGGCGUGCUUAACACAUGCAAGUCGAACGGAAAGGCCCUGCUUGCAGGGUACUCGAGUGGCGAACGGGUGAGUAACACGUGGGUGGUCUGCCCUGCACUUCGGGAUAAGCCUGGGAAACUGGGUCUAAUACCGGAUAGGAGCCAUUUUGAGUGUGAUGGUUGGAAAGUUUUUUCGGUGUUGGAUGAGCUCGCGGCCUAUCGGCUUGUUGGUGGGGUAAUGGCCUACCAAGGCGGCGACGGGUAGCCGGCCUGAGAGGGUGGACCGCCACAUUGGGACUGAGAUGCGGCCCAGACUCCUACUGGAGGCAGCAGUGGGGAAUAUUGCACAAUGGGCGCAAGCCUGAUGCAGCGACGCCGCGUGGGGGAUGACGGCCUUCGGGUUGUAAACUCCUUUCGCUAGGGACGAAGCUUUUUGUGACGGUACCUAGAUAAGAAGCACCGGCUAACUACGUG
rnacentral:rRNA from 1 species